UACGUAGGAUGCAAGCGUUGUCCGGAAUUAUUGGGCGUAAAGAGCUCGUAGGCGGUUUGUCGCGUCUGCUGUGAAAACUCGGGGCUUAACCCCGGGCCUGCAGUGGGUACGGGCAGACUAGAGUGCGGUAGGGGAGACUGGAAUUCCUGGUGUAGCGGUGAAAUGCGCAGAUAUCAGGAGGAACACCGGUGGCGAAGGCGGCCUGCUGGGCAGUAGCUGACGCUGAUGCGCGACAGCGUGGGGAGCAAACAGG
rnacentral:rRNA from 1 species